rnacentral:rRNA from 1 species
AUUGAACGCUGGCGGCAGGCCUAACACAUGCAAGUCGAGCGGAUGAAGGGAGCUUGCUCCUGGAUUCAGCGGCGGACGGGUGAGUAAUGCCUAGGAAUCUGCCUGGUAGUGGGGGAUAACGUCCGGAAACGGGCGCUAAUACCGCAUACGUCCUGAGGGAGAAAGUGGGGGAUCUUCGGACCUCACGCUAUCAGAUGAGCCUAGGUCGGAUUAGCUAGUUGGUGGGGUAAAGGCCUACCAAGGCGACGAUCCGUAACUGGUCUGAGAGGAUGAUCAGUCACACUAGAACUGAGACACGGACCAGACUCCUACGGGAGGCAGCAGUGGGGAAUAUUGGACAAUGGGCGAAAGCCUGAUACAGCCAUGCCGCGUGUGUGAAGAAGGUCUUCGGAUUGUAAAGCACUUUAAGUUGGGAGAAAGGGCAGUAAGUUAAUACCUUGCUGUUUUGACGUUACCAACAGAAGAAGCACCGGCUAACUUCGUG